UCUAUUAGUCAACAUCUCACAUGUAACUGACCUGGUCAAAGACCAUUGCAUAGGUCUUUGUGUUACUAGAUAGAAAAAUACUUUCCCGCCCCACUCCACUUCUCUUUUUUGCUUUCCAAUUUUUAGCUAAAUCUUAUGAUGUAGACCCAGUGUCGAACUACAUUAGUAACUAUUCCUACUUCUAUGCUAGGCAUUCUUAUCUUCCAACCAACAUGGAUUGACUUUAAUAUGAGAC
rnacentral:lncRNA from 1 species